UGUUUCAGAGAAGGUGUGACCGAGGGCUAUGAGCUGUACCAUUGUAGACAAGCGUGGAAGAUUUAAAACAUUUUCUAACCACACCUGAUCUGCUAAUGGAUGACAACAAACAUUAAGCAUCUCAGUCUUACAAUAGUUUUCUUACUUCCAUUCAAGAAUGUUGACCUUCCUAUCUAGACCAUAGUGGCCCGUUCGCUACUUCUUUUUGCUCCACAUACUGAUGGGUUGUGUUGCAAACAAAUUUACAGGAACCCGAUAAGUAACUAAUGAUGCCACUAUAAAAACGCAAUCCAUAACUUGAUGUCUCCAGCUACAGUAAGUUGUUCCUAUAUUUCGCGCAUCAAUCUGACUACCUUCAUAAUGCACUAUUGUGUUUCAGAGAAGGUGUGACCAAGGGCUAUGAGUUGUACCAUUGUAGACAUGGACGACGAUGCUGAGAGGAUCCAUACCGAUGCACAUCAAGUGCGUCUGGUUCUCCAAUAUCCAAACACCCUGGUUAGUGGUUCUCCAAUAUCCAGUUGCGCUGGCUAGUGGUUCUCCUAGUGGAACUGGUCGCCAAGACCAAUAUGGCCAUUGUACACUGGCGCGGGUCCAUCAUCCAUCAUAGUGGUUCUCAAAGCAUUCUUCACCAAGUGUUCUUCACCAAAUGAUCUUCGCCAUGUCCUUUGAUAGGUAUGUAGUAUGAACAUGAGCAGGGAGCGGCGUAGCAUACGCUCGGCUGGGCGUCCAUGAGGUCGUCGGUGGCGAAGCCGACCUUGUCAAGGUUGUAGCUCUUGUUGUCGAGCCGGACACAGGCGACACACACUUGGUGGUUGAGCCCGACAUAAGGCAUGAGAUAGGCUGUUGUGCUCUCUGUAGAUCUGUGUCUUUUCUAGUAAACAAUUUAACAAUAGGUGGUAUGCAUGAACAGAUAUAGCAUCAUUUUUUUCUGAAUCCAGUAAAUAGAAAGGGCUAAAUUA
rnacentral:lncRNA from 1 species